rnacentral:sRNA from 2 species
UAUCUCUCCGUACGGGGAAGGAUGAGAAGCUUCGACCAAGGUUCGAUUCGAGCGUCAGCGAGAAAGCGUUGCCGCAGGCAACGACCCGAAGGGUAAGGAGCGGAGCGACGAAUAAUCCUUCCCCCACCACCA